GACGAGCGCUGGCGGCGUGCUUAACACAUGCAAGUCGAACGCUGAAGCCCUGGCUUUUGUUGGGUUGGAUGAGUGGCGAACGGGUGAGUAACACGUGAGUAACCUGCCCUCUUCUUUGGGAUAACGCCCGGAAACGGGUGCUAAUACUGGAUAUUCACUGAUCUUCGCAUGGGGGUUGGUGGAAAGGUUUGUUCUGGUGGGGGAUGGGCUCGCGGCCUAUCAGCUUGUUGGUGGGGUGAUGGCCUACCAAGGCUUUGACGGGUAGCCGGCCUGAGAGGGUGACCGGUCACAUUGGGACUGAGAUACGGCCCAGACUCCUACGGGAGGCAGCAGUGGGGAAUAUUGCACAAUGGGCGAAAGCCUGAUGCAGCGACGCCGCGUGAGGGAUGGAGGCCUUCGGGCUGUAAACCUCUUUCGCUCAUGGUCAAGCCGCAACUGUGGGUUGUGGUGAGGGUAGUGGGUAAAGAAGCGCCGGCUAACUACGUG
rnacentral:rRNA from 1 species